rnacentral:rRNA from 1 species
CCUACGGGAGGCAGCAGUGGGGAAUAUUGCACAAUGGGGGAAACCCUGAUGCAGCCAUGCCGCGUGUGUGAAGAAGGCCUUCGGGUUGUAAAGCACUUUCAGCGAGGAGGAAAGGUUGGCGCCUAAUACGUGUCAACUGUGACGUACUCGCAGAAGAAGCACCGGC